CGCUGAAAGCAUCUAAGCGGGAAGCACGCUUCAAGAUGAGGGCUCCCACAGAGUUAAUCUGGUAAGGCCCCCGGAAGACCACCGGGUUGAUAGGUCGGACGUGGAAGAACGGCAACGUUUGGAGCUGACCGAUACUAAUAGGCCGAGGGCUUGUCUCA
rnacentral:rRNA from 1 species